GUAGGUGGCAAGCGUUGUCCGGGAAUUAUUGGGGCGUGAAGCGCGCGCAGGCGGUCCUUUAAGUCUGAUGUGAAAGCCCACGGGCUCAACCGUGGAGGGUCAUUGGAAACUGGGGGACUUGAGUACAGAAGAGGAAAGCGGAAUUCCAAGUGUAGCGGUGAAAUGCGUAGAGAUUUGGAGGAACACCAGUGGCGAAGGCGGCUUUCUGGUCUGUAACUGACGCUGAGGCGCGACAGCGUGGGGAGCAAACAGGAUUAGAUACCCUGGUAGUCCACGCCGUAAACGAUGAGUGCUAAGUGUUAGGGGGUUUCCGCCCCUUAGUGCUGCAGCUAACGCAUUAAGCACUCCGCCUGGGGAGUACGGCCGCAAAGGCUGA
rnacentral:rRNA from 1 species